GCGGACUUGUCUGUGGACAAAGCACCCGGAGAGGCUUCCGGGGCUGCACGCCCGUGACACGGGCUCAACCAGCAGUACCCACUGAAACAUCUCUAGUGUACCGCUGGUCUGAGGACAACUUCUGUGAUUGACCGUGGCUGGUCCUUAAAGGUUGCCUGCAGGGUUGGAAGUUCAACUCACCUGCCCACUCGAGGCUGAGUGGCUCCUUGCCCCAUUCUGUUCCACCUCCCUGCCGAACAUGUAAGCUGCUUCUCACCACUGGCGGCAGGAUCAUUAACCCACCGGAAAU